CACACACACACACACACACACACACACACACACACACACACAUCAGAAGCACAAACAGCUCAUCCAGCCACUGGCCUUCACCUUUGACCCCGGUAACAGCGUGGCUUACCUGCUUAGAGGUGAGCAGGAGACCGAGGAGGAGCAGACUGAGAGGACGGUGGUGUGAGAGCGCUGGAGCAUGUAGACGAGCACUAGAGGACGCUGUGACCCCAUAAACUCCUCGUGACUGAUGUGUCAACAGUUGCAUCAUGAGCGACUCUUUAAAGCAUUGACUGAAGUGUCUCUCUCUCCUUCACGGCUGAUUUCACUGCGAUUAGGAGACGCUUUGAGUGAUCAGAUGCACAACUUUCAACCAUAAAACAGUUUAAAAUUCCCAUAGAUGCACAUUAAAGGAGGAACCCAAGUCAUAUCUACAGACCAGAGGAUCACAGAGACGCGAUAAAUCACCCAGAAUGCCCUUGCAUCAAGCUGGAACAGCCAGAAUGAUGGAAAGCCACAGACACUCAAUAAUCUCUCAGUCCUCAGACGUGUGAGAUCGACUCUGGGAUGACUGUCAGCUCACAAAUGUAUUUCUGGCUUGUCAGCAGUGAAUGAGCAGUGUGUGUUUGCACCCACACACAGACAUCCAUUAGACGAUUCACCGAUUAAACCUCAACACGCUCUGAAUCUCAAUAACGUUACUUCAUGAAGAUCAGAGGCGGAGUUUUCCUGAUGCAUCACAUCAGAAGCAACAAGAGCUUCUCCACCCACUUUACUUUCAUCAUGCAUCGGAAAUAGUAUAAGGUUAGUAACAAAUGUGGGAUUUUUUUGCGCUUAUUUGUUAGAUAUUUUAAACUCCAGCUUGUCUCUGGCCUUCUAAUCUAAAUAGUCCUUUGUUUUUUAGGUUUAUAACCCUAAAAUUACCCAUGCAAAGUCAAUUAUCACACUAAUUAAUUUCUGGUUCAAAAGCAGAAUU